rnacentral:rRNA from 1 species
AGAGUUUGAUCAUGGCUCAGAGUGAACGCUGGCGGCAGGGCUAACACAUGCAAGUCGAGCGGCAGCGCGUCCGACCACCCUCGGGUGGUCGGAUGGCGGCGAGCGGCGGACGGGUGAGGAAUGCAUCGGAAUCUGCCUCGUUGUGGGGGAUAACGUAGGGAAACUUACGCUAAUACCGCAUACGACCUACGGGUGAAAGUGGGGGACCUUCGGGCCUCACGCGAUGAGAUGAGCCGAUGCCGGAUUAGCUAGUUGGCGGGGUAAAGGCCCACCAAGGCGACGAUCCGUAGCUGGUCUGAGAGGAUGAUCAGCCACACUGGAACUGAGACACGGUCCAGACUCCUACGGGAGGCAGCAGUGGGGAAUAUUGGACAAUGGGGGCAACCCUGAUCCAGCCAUGCCGCGUGUGUGAAGAAGGCCUUCGGGUUGUAAAGCACUUUUGCUGGGGAAGAAACCGGCCGGGUUAAUACCCUGGUUGAAUGACGGUACCCAAAGAAUAAGCACCGGCUAACUUCGUGCCAGCAGCCGCGGUAAUACGAAGGGUGCAAGCGUUACUCGGAAUUACUGGGCGUAAAGCGUGCGUAGGCGGUUUGUUAAGUCUGCUGUGAAAGCCCUGGGCUCAACCUGGGAACUGCAGUGGAUACUGGCGAGCUAGAGCGUGUCAGAG